UUAUGAUAUUUCACAUUCUAUGGUUUCUAAGUAAAUUUAAGAACAUCUUCUCUACAAUGUCUCUUGGGACCGCCUCGUGGAUGCUCUGGAUAUCUGUGACUUGGUGUCGAAUGGUUGAGACAAUUGCUGCAUUGUCGCCGGUUGUCUGAUAACAUUUUUCUUGUUGUUCAACACCAUUUGUUUCCUCUGGUUGUAUGGCUGCAUAGUCUUUAAGAUAACUUUUUCCUGAGCGCAGACCCAUGUUGCUUAAAGUAACUUCCUGUGCUUGAACCCGCUGAGUUUUUACCAUGCUGCUCUCACAACACGUAGCUACGUGGAGCUUGACAGCUAGCUAACGAACAAAAACAAAAAAAAGGAAUCUUCACCGAGGCUUUCUUUUCUCACUGAAGAUCUUUGUAUAGUUUUAUCAUCGUAACUGUAACAUACAGAAAAGAACACAUUACUAACUGAUGCACACAGUGUCACAAUUACAGUUAGCUUAGCUCAGUAGCAUUAGUGCAUACAUAUUAUUAAAUAAGUGAUUAACAAAUGCAUAAAUAGUUCCCAAAUAUAUCAAUACUUAUAAAGACGAAUAUCCUCCAAGGUACAAAACAUAUAAAGCACUUUUAGCGUGUUUGUAAGCCGUUUACUCUUAUCUUGUCGGACUAAACGUUUGAAACAGCAUCAACAAAAAAAACUCAAAUCAAAGAUUCGUUCGAGGCAAGAGCAUUCUCUCUCUUGUGUUUCUGUAUAAGCAUUAAAACAAAGCGCUUCUGCAACAGCAAUGUCUCACUAUGAACUUCUUUCAGAAUUAAAACGUUUUAACCUUUUUAACAUGUAGUCACAUUUAGUUUUUAUUAACUUAUCAAUGUAACUUAUUCUAAUCAUGAACUUAAUCAUUUUUACCUAAAGGCAUCACACUAACCCUAACUCCACAUUGGAGAGCACUCUGGCACCCUCUGUACCACCACUCUGUAUAAAGGCUAGCAGUAAGCUAUUUUAGUUCACUGACCAUCAAUAAAAAACACAAGAAGAAGAAUUUCAAUGUUUUUGUUGUCAUCAAGGUGGAGCCUGGUCAUAAAAGUAAGAAAGUGAUGUCUUUAGAGGUGAAGCAAAGAGCUAAAACCAGAGCAAACCUUGGUGGACUACACUCAUUUGAUGGAGCUAAAGGAGGCUACGAAAACACGGACUGAUGGUGACCUGGCUUUGUUGCUACUGAACUUGUGAGUAAUAAAUAUGUUUGUCUAACAGUGCACUUCUUUCUACUUUGUGGCUUAUUUAGUAUCAGCUGGCUUGCGCUAGCAUUAGCUUGUUGUUAGCGCUAGCUACAGCAGGCUGUGGCAGGGUUGUUCACAACAGCUGUAAUUCCACUUUCAACCAGUCGGAGGGAGAGACAUGAAACUAAGGUACUGUUGCUUUAAAGUUUUAUAAUUAAGCAACUCUGAAGAAUUAAUUUAGAAAAUAUCACUGACGAGCCAGUAAAAUAACUCUUUGCUAAAAAAAAGUGCCUGGAAAACAAUAAAUCACUACAAGACUGAAUAAAUAAUUUGUUGGCAAGGCAUCAAAUAUGCAGAUUUAGAGCGCGUUGGAACAAGCACUGGAGGGCUGAACACUUCUGUUGUUUAUGAUGUGUGUUUUUGUUUUAAAUCAGUCUUGCAGCCCUUUGAUGUAAACGUGUCUUUUCCCUCAUGCUUCCCAAUCUGCUUUUCAUCAUUAUUACAUUCUCAGUAAUAAGCUCUUUAUUUCCUUCAUUUCAAUAAGUGAAAACCACACAAUAGAAUAUUUAAUAGUGUGAUGUGUCCUUGGAUGAGUUUGCGGUCCUUUUUUUUGAAGAGUUUGAAUUUGUGUGUGUGUGUGUGUGUGUGUGUGUGUGUGUGUGUGUGUGUGUGUGUGUGUGUGUGUGUGUGUGUGUGUGUGUGUGUGUGUGUGUGUGUGUGUGUGUGUGAUUUAAAGGAUGAAGCACAGCAGGAGGUUAAGACCUGAGAUGGGUCGGGUCUUGUUGUCCUCCCUGCAUUAUUUAGCACAAUGGGGAGUGCGUGAGUGAUUGCUAACCCCAGUUAGCUUGAGAGAUCAACGAGUGCAGCCUCAUGUUUAUGUGUGUGUGUGUUUACACUGAGUAGAAAAGCAGAUGGUGCAGCAUUUUUAUGUGUCACCAUUUGUGAAAAGAAGGUGCCCAGGACUUAGUUAAUCGACUCUGACCAAAGGCUCCGUUGACAUCACUUUACACUCUUUGGUGCUGUUCCCAAUAUCUCUAAAUUUGACAGAGAAAUAAACAAGUAUAGGCGGGAAAAAGGACGGAUGUGCAUGGGUGGGGGCAGAGGUGAUCGUUCCUGGUAAAGCCUCUUAGAGCUCUGUGGAUUUACACUCUUGUCAAGUGACUUGUGUGUGGUUUAUUUUUGUUUGAAUGCCCUCACGAGCAUCAAAAAAAAAAAUCCCUUAAUGUUGAAAUGGCGAAACAGAAAUGAGUUUUUAUAGGUUGUGACUUGGAUUUGGAGUUUCAGAUUUGGUUUACUGUAUGUUUGGACUACAGAGCCGAGAAUAAAAACAAGUCAGCUCCACAUUUAUUCCAGAAUGUUUGAAGUUACUGAACUUGUGAACUUCAAGUCUGACCUCAAGCCUGAGGCACAAAACAAACAGAUUCUCUACACUGGUAUGGGUUGAUGUAUCCCACAGGACUGGAAAUAUGUUAAGUCACUGUAUUUAUGCUCUGAUAUACCAACAUGACAUGAAGUAAUCCUACUUUUUCACUGCUGUCAUGUGGUUUUGGUGUGUUUUUCUUCUGUUUUCCACUUCUUUUGCUUCUAGGCUAUUUUCCAUUCUUCCUUCCCUUCACAACCUCCUUGCUGGGCUACUCACCCUCCCACACAUCCAUCCAGUAAACAUGUUGGCAUUCAAGCUCCGUUUUUAGAAAGCAAAACAACACGGGGAAUUGACCAGAAUAUGGAAACAGUUAAUCUCCCUGGGUGGAUGAGUAUCAAAUCCUCAGUCACACGACGGAGGUGGAGAGAGACAGAGAGAUGGUGGAGAGACGCUGUGUUCAUUUCGCCGAGGCCAGAUGGUGAGGGCAGCUUUGGUGCUGCACGGCUUCUCUCUCUGCCUGUCAGGCUGUGACACACACACACACACACACACACACACACACACACACACACACACACACACACACACACACACACACACACACACACACACACACACACACACACACACACACACACACACGAUUACCUCAGCCUGUUUGUACAGCAGCACUCUACUGUAUGUGCUGGCCUAGACUUAUUUGAUUAAUCUUUUAUUUGUCCACUGCUGUUAUCACUGUUUUCCAUCUCAACGUGUUGCUAGGAUUAAGGCAGUUCCUGGUUUACUUCCUUGUUUGGAUGUUUUUUUUUAUCUGCUCCAUCGUGUACAUUUAGCACUGAAGUGGUCUGGAAAUCUGUGUCUAGCCACCAAAAACACAGAAGUUAGGAAAGCCACCCUAAUUACACAGGAAUCUUCUCAUCCCCUUCAUUUUUUUAGUCUUCACCCUUUGGGCAAGAGACACAAAGUUCUACUGGCUAAAAAAGUGAUUUAUAAAAAUAAAUAAAUAAAUAAAUAAACCAGCCAUCUAAACAGAAAUUAUAAUCCUCAACAAUAAGGGAAUUUCCACAUUUUAGAGGUUUUUAUGGACGGUCUUUGAAGUACCAAUGUUUGUGAUUUUAGCUUUAUGUGGUUUUAGAUUUCUGUGUUUAUGUGUGUGGCAUUACGUUUGAACCCAGUUUUCUGUAACCUCUGGUAUCAGACAAAUAGUUUUUCAAUUUGAUGAUUAAAAAUGUUUCACUUGCCUUCCAACUGCUAUGCUAAAACAAAAACAUAUUUACGUCUACUAAAUGGGAACUUCACAGCCAUAAUAGCCCAGAAGAAGACUUUUUAUUUGACAAAAAAAAGCAAUAUUAGGAAAAACUGUUUUGUACAAGUUUUAAAUAAAUAUUGCUUAAAUGUGCAAUAUGUAAGAAUGAGGUACGAAUGCCAUCCUGUGGUCAAAUUUUCUAAACAAAAAGUGACUUUCUCUCCUGUUGUGUGAGUUUCACGUCUGUUGGCCAGUUACGGAUCAGCACCGAGAGAUUCUAGAUGAUAAACGAAGGCAAGUUGUGCACAAUAAGUUAAUAAGUAAAUACAUUGUCAUAUCUGGUGUUGGCACACUUGGGUGUUUUAUGGUAGGGAGCACUUACUACACUCAUUACGGUAAUAUGUCUCCAGGAUUAGAAAGUGUGGUUGUUUGCUGUCUUGCUGUUAGCUUGAUGUUAUAGUUCUGAACGACUCAUUAAAGGAUGUAAAAGGCCAUGACUGACUCAUUAUUCACUUUGCACAUAUGUUUCACUGUGAUAUUGAAUUGCUGGUGACUGAAAAAUAAGCUUAAAGGUAUUGCAAUCGUUUUACUUCCGGGUGGAUCACGUCAACCAUUGGUCCGCAUAACUGUCAAUCAUUCUGGCGAAGGCUUAGUGUGAGUCCGUCGUACGUGCUCGCCCCUGGGUCAGUUUUCUCCUUGCGCAUGUACACUUUUUUUCUCAACGGGUUGCGCACUUUUAUCUCAACGGGUUCUUUUGAAAAUGGCUGAGAGUCGCAAGAGAAAAGGUGUCUUCAAAGUCUGCGAGAAGAAGAGAAAGGCCUCUGAAGAUAGAAAUAAGACCAGAGUGUUUUUAGGAGACUCUUUUCAACGUUGGCGUUCGCUGAAACAGACGGUUGGGCUGUCCAAAGACGCUGCGGUUACCUGUUUUCUGCUGGACAGGUAAGCUAAGGUUCGGUAUGCUAUUUGGAGGAAUGCAUUUGAGAUUAUUGCUAGAAGAACUGUAUGAAAAUAAAACCUGUUUUAUAUUUGUGUGCGUACAUCAGUUUCUGAAAUAUUCUACUGGCCAAAGCGCAUUCUCUGCUCACGUGAUUCCAACAUGGCAGCGCCCGGUCUGCACGUGAAAAAACAAAUGGCGAGAGAGCUGUAAAUAGGGGAAAUGCCUCUACUUGUUUUAUUGUUGAUGCAUCGCCGCGAUCGUCAUUUCAAGUUUCGGAACGUAUGUGUACGGUGGCUGCAAAGAUGGAGCAGUCUAGGAUUUUAUGCCUAUCUACCCAAAAAGAUGCGCUUUGCUGACACAGAAUCCUUCCGACCGUUCCGCCGUCUGUAUCCUGAAUCCUUCGAGAGUGUAGUGGAAAGAGUCGGCUCAUCGAUCCGCAAAGCUCCGUUUAGUUUAUUUUAUUUACAUGCGGACAGGGGGCUGCUGCUUCUGAAUCUGAACACAUCUUUGAGCGGAGACAUUAAAGACAAUGUCCUGAUGCAUGAAUCAAACAAUACAGUAAAACACGUAAGGGAACGUCAUAUUUAGGAUAGCAUACAUUUAUUAGAGGUAGUUUCAAAUGUAGAGCUGGACGACCUUCAGAAGAAUAUACUUUAAAGAAUAUCUGUGGACAUCCAUAUGAAAUAUUUGUUAUAUUUGGAUUUUGUAUAAACAAAGAACUAAUAUGUUUAAAAUUCUAUAUUUGUUACAGCUAUGAUAACAUCACCUCCACUCCGCUGACUCACACUCAGUGGCCAAGACCAAAGCCUCCAGACGUAUCAACAAUUCAGGAUUCACUGUCGGAUCGAGAAGCUGAUAAACAGCCUGGAUAUCUGGCACGGUGCAAUGAACCUCUGUAAAAAGAUUCAAGCUGCUGGACGAGAGAAGGACUGUGCCCUGCUUCUGAUUUGGAACAGAGACGUUUGCAACCACUUUUGGUACUGCUGUAAGGAAGCCACAUCUUUUUAAGAUUUCAUUGUAAGUUUUAUU